rnacentral:rRNA from 7 species
UUGGUGCCUUCGGGAACUGUGAGACAGGUGCUGCAUGGCUGUCGUCAGCUCGUGUUGUGAAAUGUUGGGUUAAGUCCCGCAACGAGCGCAACCCUUAUCCUUUGUUGCCAGCGGUUAGGCCGGGAACUCAAAGGAGACUGCCAGUGAUAAACUGGAGGAAGGUGGGGAUGACGUCAAGUCAUCAUGGCCCUUACGACCAGGGCUACACACGUGCUACAAUGGCAUAUACAAAGAGAAGCGACCUCGCGAGAGCAAGCGGACCUCAUAAAGUAUGUCGUAGUCCGGAUUGGAGUCUGCAACUCGACUCCAUGAAGUCGGAAUCGCUAGUAAUCGUAGAUCAGAAUGCUACGGUGAAUACGUUCCCGGGCCUUGUACACACCGCCCGUCACACCAUGGGAGUGGGUUGCAAAAGAAGUAGGUAGCUUAACCUUCGGGAGGGCGCUUACCACUUUGUGAUUCAUGACUGGGGUGAAGUCGUAACAAGGUAACCGUAGGGGAACCUGCGGUUGGAUCACCUCCUUACCUUAAAGAA